UGCCGAACUAACGCUUUAASUGUCCCGCCUGGGGAGUACGGUCGCAAGGCUAAAACUCAAAGGAACUGACGGGGGCCCGCACAAGCAGCGGAGCGUGUGGUUUAAUUCGAUGCUACACGAAGAACCUUACCAAGAUUUGACAUGCAUGAAGUAGUGAACCGAAAGGGAAACGACCUGUUAAGUCAGGAGUUUGCACAGGUGCUGCAUGGCUGUCGUCAGCUCGUGCCGUGAGGUGUUUGGUUAAGUCCUGCAACGAGCGCAACCCUUGUUGCUAGUUAAAUUUUCUAGCGAGACUGCCCCGCGAAACGGGGAGGAAGGUGGGGAUGACGUCAAGUCAGCAUGGCCUUUAUAUCUUGGGCUACACACACGCUACAAUGGACAGAACAAUAGGUUGCAACAGUGUGAACUGGA
rnacentral:rRNA from 1 species